AGUGAACGCUGGCGGUAGGCCUAACACAUGCAAGUCGAACGGCAGCACAGUAAGAGCUUGCUCUUACGGGUGGCGAGUGGCGGACGGGUGAGGAAUACAUCGGAAUCUACUUUUUCGUGGGGGAUAACGUAGGGAAACUUACGCUAAUACCGCAUACGACCUACGGGUGAAAGCAGGGGAUCUUCGGACCUUGCGCGAUUGAAUGAGCCGAUGUCGGAUUAGCUAGUUGGCGGGGUAAAGGCCCACCAAGGCGACGAUACGUAGCUGGUCUGAGAGGAUGGUCAGCCACACUGGAACUGAGACACGGUCCAGACUCCUACGGGAGGCAGCAGUGGGGAAUCUUGGGCAAUGGGCGCAAGCCUGACCCAGCCAUCCCGCGUGGGUGAAGAAGGCCUUCGGGUUGUAAAGCCCUUUUGUUGGGAAAGAACAGCAGCAGGUUAAUACCCCGCUGUUCUGACGGUACCCAAAGAAUAAGCACCGGCUAACUUCGUG
rnacentral:rRNA from 1 species